UCGUGAAAACUGGCAUAGGGUUGUGAGAUCUUUCCAGGUACACGCAGAAAACAGAGCAUAAAGGCCUGAGAGAAAUAAAGUAAUCUUGCAGUUUGAUUUAAAGCUAAUUAAAUUAAAUAA